rnacentral:rRNA from 1 species
UACAGAGGGGGCAAGCGUUGUUCGGAAUUACUGGGCGUAAAGGGCGCGUAGGCGGCCUGCUAAGUCGAACGUGAAAUCCCCGAGCUCAACUCGGGAACUGCGUCCGAUACUGGCAGGCUUGAAUCCGGGAGAGGGAUGCGGAAUUCCAGGUGUAGCGGUGAAAUGCGUAGAUAUCUGGAGGAACACCGGUGGCGAAGGCGGCACCCUGGACCGGUAUUGACGCUGAGGCGCGAAAGCCAGGGGAGCAAACGGG